ACGGGUAUAGUUUAAAAAAAUGCUGCUUUGUGGGUGCAAUGUUAGGUGUCACGUCUUACUCGUA
rnacentral:tRNA from 1 species